GUAGGGAAUAUUGGGCAAUGGAUGCAAGUCUGACCCAGCCAUCCCGCGUGCCGGAAGAAGGCCCUCAGGGUUGUAAACGGCUUUUGACGGUGAAGAAUCGACAGGAUGCAUCCUGUUUUGACGGUAGCCGUUGAAUAAGCACCGGCUAACUCCGUGCCAGCAGCCGCGGUAAUACGGAGGGUGCGAGCGUUGUCCGGAGUUAUUGGGUUUAAAGGGUGCGUAGGCUGGAGGGUCAGUCAGCGGUGAAAAGCUGUCGCUGAACGAUAGUCUUGCCGCAGAUACUUCGUUUCUUGGAUGAGGAGGAGGCCACUGGAACGGAUGGUGUAGCGGUGAAAUGCAUAGAUAUCAUCCAGAACACCGAUUGCGAAGGCAGGUGGCUGUACCUUAAUCGACGCUGAUGCACGAAAGCAUGGGGAGCAAACAGGAUUAGAAACCCUUGUAGUCC
rnacentral:rRNA from 1 species